rnacentral:ncRNA from 1 species
AAUAAAGCCAUGACGGAGCCAAGCAUAUGACGAAACGUUCAGAGAGCCGGUGGUUGGUGCGAACCGGACGAAUUUCAAUAUGCGGAGCACUCCUGAGUUGCUGCAUCGAACUUGAAGUAGCUGCAGCCGGCCGGAAGCCGUUACCCUUCCGGGUCUGUGAAUUCGGCAGACCACAAGAGGCUGUUCGCGCGAGCGCACAGUGAAUUAGGGUGGUACCACGAGAGCCAGCUCCUCGUCCCUUGU